rnacentral:lncRNA from 1 species
GUGAGGUGACUUUUUGGAAGGAGUAUAACUACGAAGGAGUAAGAAAUUAGGGGCAGUGUGAGAAAGAGGUGCUGCUGGCUGUGAAGUAAUGAAGGUGGUCAAUUGUUAGAACAAAAAUAAGCUAAUUCAACAGUGAACAUGAGAUGAGGAGUUAAAAAAUAAAUUGUUAACCAAUUGAUUUGACAGUGGGUAUGAACAUGGAUAGAGAGUUUUUAGCCCUGAAUAAAUGUGAGAGUUUCGAAAUGUGAAUGUGAGGCAUAAUGGGAAAAAAAAGUGAAAUUUUGAAAGUAGAUAAGAGCAAAUACAAAAGCAGUAGUAUGACAUUUACAAUGUUUCACAGGAACUAUAUGGUUAUGUGUGUAAUAGAAAGUAAAGUAAAGCUAAAAGUAGAGACUUUUAGCAGUAUUUGUUGAAAUACUUGUGAAUAUGUGCAAGCGAUAAUCAUUGUGACCUAUACGUUGGCGUGAAAGUGAGAAGUAGACUCACCUUUUACACCUUUUUCGUUGGUGUGGGUGGUUCAAAUUUUGGCAUUGGAUUUGAAGCAGCAGCUGCAGUAGUUGUUGCCAUGACUUCUACCUCACUUAUUUCCAAAGGUUUGAUCUUUUUAGAAGUCCUAUGAGUAGUGCUCUGUGGUGUAUGUGGUUUUUCGAUGUAGGAAAGAACGGAGAAGCUUGCAUGUGUGGUAUUUGAGCUGCUCCAAGAUGACUUCCUUAGUUGAAUUUCGAAUACUUUGUUUGACAGCAUUUCAUGGACAUGAGUAAGAGACAAUGAAUGUCGCUGUAAAUGUAACAAGUUGGAACAAAUAGUUUACAACAAAGCAUAUGUGCUAAAGUGUGUGUGCUGCGGAUAUAUGGUAUUAUGACAAUAGCUGGGUACAAGUAGGCAGUGGGAAUGAGAGAUAACCUUAGUGCAAGUUAUGUCAAAUAUGUCUUCUGCUGCCAUGCACAGUAAUUUUUCUCCUAAUUCAGCAGAGAUAGAUGUUGUGGUUGUAGCAGUGCCGUCAAUAAGAUCAAUUUGAAAGCUACAGCUGAAAUGAUGGAAUAGAAUGUAUGGAAAUCAGGAUAUGUUACAUUAAACAAAAGAUUCAAAGAUUCUAUUUCUUCUGUAAAGGGAAUAACAAAAUUAUUGGGAAUUUCAAUUUUGUUGCAGUUGUUAGUUUUCUCUUGUCCAUUUCCAAUUCUCAUUAAAUAUGCACAAAAUGCUGGAUCUUCUUUUUUGAAAUGACAAACAAUAACCAAACAGCAAAGGGACGCUGUAAUUUUAUGGUAUCGCAAGCACACAGCAGUCAUAAGGAUUUCUUUGAAUGUGAUUAAUAUGAAUGUGAGCAACAGUGGUCCUAUUGAAAAGUCAACAGUCCAACUUUGGUUUUUUGGUCUGAACGACACUUUGAUUGGAUGUGAGGUGAUAUUUUGGAAGGAGUAUAAAUACGAAGGAGUAAGAAAUUAGGGGCAGUGUGAGAAAGAGGUGUUGCUAACUGUGAAGUAAUGAAGGUGGUCAAUUGUUAGAACAAAAAUAAGCUAAUUCAACAGUGAACAUGAGAUGAGGAGUUAAAAAUAAAUUGUUAACCAAUUGAUUUGACAGUGGGUAUGAACAUGGAUAGAGAGUUUUUAGCCCUGAAUAAAUGUGAGAGUUUCGAAUGUGAUGUGAGGCAUAAAUGGG